AUUGAACGCUGGCGGCAGGCCUAACACAUGCAAGUCGGGCGAGUGGCGGACGGGUGAGUAAUGUAUGGGGAUCUGCCUGCUGGAGGGGGAUAACUACUGGAAACGGUCGCUUAUACCGCAUACCAUCAGAUGAACCCAUAUGGGAUUAGCUUGUCGGUGAGGUAACGGCUCACCUAGGCGACGAUCCCUAGCUGGUCUGCGCGGAUGAUCAGCCACACGGGGACUGAGACACGGCCCAGACUCCUACGGGAGGCAGCAGUGGGGAAUAUUGCACAAUGGGCGCAAGCCUGAUGCAGCCAUGCCGCGUGUAUGAAGAAGGCCUUCGGGUUGUAAAGUACUUUCAGUCGGGAGGCGUUACCGACAGAAGAAGCACCGGCUAACUCCGUGCCAGCAGCCGCGGUAAUUC
rnacentral:rRNA from 1 species